rnacentral:lncRNA from 1 species
UCGUUUAACAAAACAGUACGUCACUCUGACAAGAUAGUAAAAACACUGGACAUGAUAGCAUGUUACUUUGAGAAAAUAGGACGGUCGUUUAACAAAAUAGUACAAACCUCUGACAAGAUAGUAUGUUCACUGGACAUGACAGUAUGUUAAUUUGAGAAAUUAGGAUGGUCAUUUUACAAACCGGUACGUCACUCUGACAAGAUAGUAUACACACUGGACAUGAUGUCAUGUUACUUUGAGAAAAUAGGAUGAUCGUUUAACAAAAUAGUACAACACUCUUACAAUAUAGUAAACACACUGUACAUGACAGCAUGUUACUUUGAGAAAAUAGGAUGGUCGUUUAACAAAAUAGUACGUCACUGAGAAAUAGGAUGUUCGUUUAACGAAACAGUACGCCACUCUGACAAGAUAGUAAACAUACUGGACAUGAUACCAUGUUAUUCUGAGAAAACAGAAUGGUCGUUUAACAAAAUAGUACGUCACUCCGACACGAUAGUAUGUUCACUGGACAUUAUAGUAUGUUAAUUUGAGAAAAUAGGAUGGUCGUUUAACUAUGGAAGCGUUAAUUGACCCCCUACUUGAUGCGAAAACGAUAGACUUUUCGAGAUAUUUUAUCUCGACAUGGUGUUAUUACAUGUAUAAAUAUGUAUAUGUUACGUAUUGUUGUAGCAAUUUACAGUCAUAGAAAGACGACAUGCCUGUAUAUAACGCAUUAUGUUUGCUAAUAUAUAAGUGAACUCGCCAUAUAACUUACGUAGCUUUACGUCUUGAAUUAAAAAGACAAAAUGAAAAUUAAAAAGUCGACUUACACUUGCACAAAUGACAACAGUUAUUCCAAUAAAAUGUUAAUGUGUGUAUGUUCAGUAAACAAAUGCAGUUUUCCAACAUAAUUCUUGGCGACAAAGCCAUGUUAACAUUCAUUACCGCUCCAUUUUUUAUGUUGACCCUUAUUUUUAUUCAGUGUGUAGUCAGCAGGGCGUGCCUGUAUCGGUAAGUCUUUACAAAUGUAUAAAUCAUUUGGGGGAUACUAUAAAAAUUUACGAUUUUUCGGAAUUGAAUGAAUAAGGAAUUCUAGACUAUGAAUGGAAUGAAAUAAAAACAGUCAAACUGUAUCAGCCAUAAACAGGUAGAAGUUUAUUUAACGUCACAAACAACACAAGCCACAAAGCUCUCUUGCGACAAACAAGGUGUUCAGUAAUAGAUACUUAACUGUGCUUAACUGUGCUUAUUUUACCGCCUGUUAAAAUCCUUUAAAUGCUGAGAGCCAUGCUAGGAAGCUGCAAGUACUCUUUUUCAUGUCUUUAGUACGACGCGGCCGGGGCUCGAACCCCAGUGCUCCCACUCUUAUAGCCGACACUGUUCAACCGAGCUAUUGAAACAUUUGUAUACAUAUUUUAAUAGAAUAACCUCGUUUUACAAACAAUUGUCAUUUAUAUAUUCAGACCACCAGAGGAAGUGGUGAGAGACUGACAAUGAUGUACUGAACGAGCAUGGUGGAAAGACAAUAUAAUCAAAUGGGGGUUUCUCAUUAGCCUAACUUGUGUAUAGUCUGUUUUGAUAGAGAGCCUACAGGGUAUUUUUAUCUAUGCGGCCAUACUGCCUGUAUACCUUGUGCACUACAUAUUUCCAAAAACACUGUGGGAAGAAAUGCCCUAAAUGUGGGGUUAACUUGAAGCUGUCAGAAACAUUUAUAACUAGAAAGUAUUUGAUAAUAUAACAGCAAUUUCGAUAUAAUUACAAUCAAGGUAGAUACUGAAGAGUGCGAAGCAUUUUAAGUUUGUUUACUUCUUUCAAUGUAGGACACAAUGGAGAAAUGUUUACAUGCUUCUUGAAUUUGGAAUGUUAGAAACCGAUGCGUUUCUGGAUAUAAAGGCAGCAUCAAUGUUAAGUCAUUGACAUCUUAUUAUAUAACGUUGAACCAGCUAUAAAGAUUCUACCAUCUUGUAUCUACUAAUUUAAAGGACAUUUUGUCUUUGUUUAUAUUGUACAUAAUGACACGUACAUGACAUACCUGUAAAGAUACACAUGAAGGUUUAUAUUUGUUUCCUUAAUAUGUGCUGUAUUAGGUAUAGGCAAUAUCUAUAAUGUUAUUAGUUUGUUUUUGAAUCAUAUAUUAUCAGAAGAACAAGAGUAAAAGUUGAAUAAAAGUUUCCCUGUUAAUUGA